GACAGAGGUGCCAAGCGUUAGGCGGAAUCACUGGGCUUAAAGCGUGUGUAGGCGGACUUGUAAGUACCUUGUGAAAUCCCACGGCUCAACUGUGGAACUGCUUGGUAUACUGCUUGUCUUGAGCCACUUAGGGGCUACCGGAACAAAUGGUGGAGCGGUGAAAUGCGUAGAUAUCAUUUGGAACGCCAAUGGUGAAAACAGGUAGCUGGGAGUGUGCUGACGCUGAGACACGAAAGCCAGGGGAGCGAACGGG
rnacentral:rRNA from 1 species